GCUGGGCUUGGUGGCCCGGGCCUGUCAUCCCAGCAGCUUCGGAGGCUGAGGCAGGAGGAUCACACAAGUUAGAGGCCAGCCUCAA
rnacentral:sRNA from 1 species